rnacentral:tRNA from 1 species
GCCGCAGUAGCUCAGUGGUAGAGCGCAUCAUUGGUAAUGAUGAGGUCGGGAUUUCAAUUAUCCCCUGCGGCACCA